rnacentral:misc_RNA from 1 species
CACCCGUGCAAAAAUGCAGGGGUCUAAAACGACCUGAAUAUUUCAGAUCAA